rnacentral:rRNA from 1 species
GAUGAACGCUGGCGGCGUGCCUAAUACAUGCAAGUCGAGCGAACAGACGAGGAGCUUGCUCCUCUGACGUUAGCGGCGGACGGGUGAGUAACACGUGGAUAACCUACCUAUAAGACUGGGAUAACUUCGGGAAACCGGAGCUAAUACCGGAUAAUAUAUUGAACCGCAUGGUUCAAUAGUGAAAGACGGUUUUGCUGUCACUUAUAGAUGGAUCCGCGCCGCAUUAGCUAGUUGGUAAGGUAACGGCUUACCAAGGCAACGAUGCGUAGCCGACCUGAGAGGGGAUUCGGCCACAUUGGACCUGAGACACGGUCAGACUCCUACGGGAGGCAGCAGUAGGGAAUCUUCCGCAAUGGGCGAAAGCUUGACGGAGCAACGCCGCGUGAGUGAUGAAGGUCUUCGGAUCGUAAAACUCUGUUAUUAGGGAAGAACAAAUGUGUAAGUAACUAUGCACGUCUUGACGGUACCUAAUCAGAAAGCCACGGCUAACUACGUG